UACGAAGGGAGCUAGCGUUGUUCGGAAUCACUGGGCGUAAAGCGCACGUAGGCGGAUGUGUCAGUCAGGGGUGAAAUCCCGGAGCUCAACUUCGGAACUGCCUUUGAUACAGCACGUCUUGAGUCCGAUAGAGGUGGGUGGAAUUCCUAGUGUAGAGGUGAAAUUCGUAGAUAUCAGGAAGAACACCAAUGGCGAAGGCAGCUCUCUGGGACGGUACUGACGCUGAGACGCGAAGCGUGGGAGCGAACAGG
rnacentral:rRNA from 1 species